UAGCUCGGUCCAUUUUAGUUUGGC
rnacentral:siRNA from 1 species